GCCCUUUGCACGGUGGCGGUAGUGGAAACACCCGCAAGGCUUCUUACAGCCUAGGACACCUAAACAGGGGGCUU
rnacentral:sRNA from 12 species